GCACGGUUAGCUCAGUCGGUAGAGCGUUGGCCCGUUCGAGGCCAAGGUCACAGGUUCGAGUCCUGUACUGUGCA